GCAGACUCACUCUGUACUGAACUGCAGUCUUCAGUUCAGGUGCUUUUUCUGUCUGCAAGAGUAAUCACUCACAGGCGUGAUGAAUGCCUUCUUUCCUGUGGAAGGCUGUUACAAUUGCUAAUGGGACAUUGCC
ensembl:snoRNA